rnacentral:rRNA from 1 species
CACGCCUUGACAUCUUUAUAUCUCCACCUGUGCACCUUUUGUAGANGCCUUUCCCAAAAGGUGUCUAUGUCUUUCAUCUGCCCCAAUUAAUGUAUGUCAAUAGAAUGUUGUUAUAAUAUAAUCUAUACAACUUUCAGCAACGGAUCUCUUGGCUCUCAAGUAAUGUGAAUUGCAGAAUUCAGUAGAAUCAUCGAAUCUUUGAACGCACCUUGCGCUCCUUGGUAUUCCUUGGAGCAUGCCUGUUUGAGUAUCGUGAAAUCCUCGAAAUAGAUCUUUUGUUCAUUCGAUUGAUUGUAUUUUGGACUUGGAGGUCUUGCAGAUUUCACGUCUGCUCCUCUCAAAUGCAUNAGCUGGAUCUCCGUGAGCUCGGUUCUACUCGGCGUGGAUAAGCAAUCACGUCGCCGAGGACACUGUAAAAAGUGGCCGGGCAUUGCAGAUGAACUGCUUCCAAUCGUCUAUUAGCUUAGACAAUCGAACCUUGUACGAUCUGAUCUCAAAUCAGGUAGGACUUACCCGCUGAACUUAAGCAUA